AAUCCCCCCACCCUGAGUUCAUGUCAUUGUGAAGUAAAUGCUGCAAAAGGAGACAUAGGCUCUUUAUGUUAACAUUGAGAGCUAAAGAUCCUUUAGGUUCGACCUAAACAAAGAACUUACUGUUUCCUACUCUUUGCUGGGGUUCUCUUGACUCUUUUCAUGGGAGUAUCACAGAAAAUCCACAGUAUUGUCGUGUUAGACUAUAUCCGUAGCAGGUCAAAGCUCCUGCUUGUGUAUUGAGGUGUGCAGAGAAUACCCCCAUCUGUUAAUGGGCUGUUUACUGUAAUGGAGGGGGAAAGGCGAUGGCCCCAGGUAUCAGCACUUGGUGGAUCAUAUGGGGACCCCCCCACCGCCUUUCACAUGCUCUUCCUACUCUCUGCCACACGGCUAAUAUUUAUUACAUCUAUUUUUUACACUAGGUAACUUCUUAAUCAGCCUGUCUUACUUAGAUUAUAUACAUCACUAUAUCUGACCCUCUUAUAACUACUGUGUGAGCAAUAAGCUUCCAAUUAGAAAUACUGCCUUAAAAAAAAAAAUACCAUGCUGAGAAGGGUGACCUAGAUCCUGCAUUAGUGGGUAUCACUUCUUUAAAACAAUUACAUUUUUAAUGAACUAAGGUGAAUAAAGGCACAACUAAAAAUUGUCUAAAAAGAAAAAAAAAUAGUAAGUCCAGUCCAGGGUAAUAGUGAAACUCAAAAGUCCCUACCAAUUUAAAACUCUUGCCUUGCCUGCAUCAGGCCUACUUGGGCUGAGAAAUCUGCAGUGGAGAGAGUAAUUUAGCUUUCAGAUUCUUCUGGAGUGUUUGUUUGACCUCCUUCCCGCCACUUGGACACUGUGUUGGGCACCCCUGGGGAUAAAGCACCCGAAGACUGGCAAUUAGAGGGAAGAAGCAGAAAACAUUUAAACUGAAAGGGGCAGCUGCACGCUUUUGAGGUGUCCCUGGGGCGUGAGGAAAAACUAGAGAUAGCCCUAUUGCACUGGAAUUCCUGGGGGAUCUUUGGAGAUCCCCUAUUGCUGCUGGCUUACCUGACCGUUUGGGGGACAAGUAAUACCUUUUCCGGGUAUCUGUUUGUGAGUCCCUACUAAGUUCCAGGUUCCCAGGGGGAGGUUCAUCAGUCCUUGGAAUCCCUCCCCAGACCCCAGCCUCCUACCAGGUUGUCUGUUUGGAUGGGGGUUCCUCUCGAAACGACCCAAUCCGGCUGCCUCCCCAUGUGGCCGGCCCACAGGAUGCCCGAGUCAUCCUUGCCCAGCCACACUGUGAAAGUGCAGGCUUCUCCCAAGCAACCCCUCUCCUCCUGCCACUGCUGCCAGGCAGGGCCACGGCCUCCUGGUGUUAGCUUCCCAGGCAGGAGGCCCAGGAUAGUUCCAAUGACUCUCGACCGUCAAGGCUACAAGUUCAACGUGUCCAAAUGUGGUGUUCUCUAAGCUCCUCUCAUUAGCUUAAAGUGAGUUGGAAACCACCACCACACCCUGUUUUGAGGAGCACAGUACCGUUCUGUAAGAAAAUCCUCACAGAAGGCUCUUCAACCUCCCAGUGACCCUUCGCCGUCUUUUUUAUAGUCUGAAUGGGUGAUGGGCUAAUGCUGGUAAAACUAUUUCACAAUCUCUUUCCCUGGCUGUGUGUAGGCGAUCCACUACCUUGCUUUGGAACGAGGGAGUACUUGGCACUUACUGCUGUUUUCCUCCAAAAUUGGGUCCUCUGCUGAGGUUUCAAGACAAAAAGAAGAGUCAAUUGUAACACCUCGUUAUACUUUAUGUUCUCAAUUCUUAGAUGACAUCUUUUGCAACACUGUCUAUGUAGUUAGAGGUUUUUUUGUUUUGUUUUUUGUUCGUUUUACUAUUACUCAACAGCUGGAAGAUCUCUGAACAAUUCCAUUUUUUUUUUUUUAAUGUAUGAAGAGUUUUGAGUGGCUGGGGAGAGAAAAGCAUACUGUGCUGUGUGUAUGACUGACAAGGAGAUGUACCUUCACUUCAGGCUCUCAGAGUCUCAGGGGGCGUUGCAGAAACAAAUGACUGCAAAGAUGGUGUUUCUAAACAACAGAACUUCGUUGUCUCAUGGUCCUGGAACCCAGAGGCCAAAAUCAAGAUGUCCUCAGGCUUGGUUCCUUCCAGAGGCUCUGAAGAAGAAACCACCCAGGCCUCUCUUCCAGUUGCUACUGGCUCCAGCAAGUUUGGACAUUUGGUGGCCGACGAUGUGAAUGAGAACGGGGAGUAGAGAACACGGAGUAGAGAAGCCUCAGUCCUGGAAGGAGGAGCAUGAGACAGCACGUGGAGGCCGACUCAGCGAGAGCCAACAGCUACUAGCAGGAGACUCCUCCCGAGUAAGCAGCAAUCGAUGUAAGCUGGUCCUCAGCCGUGCUCUGGAAACCCUGCUGGUACACACACAGACAUGCACACACACCACACACAUGCCAGGCAUACACACCUCCCACCCCAGCCCCCCCCACACCACAUGUGCCACACACACACUAUCCCCCCCCAACACAUACACCGCACUUUCACACAUACCACAAAACUGACUAUACCAUGACCCUGGGCUGGAGGUAAGGCCCGCGGACACUGACGGUGUGAUGAUGACAAGAAGAGAAAGUCUGGCUCCUUGGCCAAAGUGAAAUUCACACCGUGUGUGCCUUAAUAACUACCAAGAGGCCCUCCCCUCCCUGAUCUCCUGGCUUCCCAUUUAUUCCACAGUGUCCUAUAGUGAUCUUCCUAAAAAAUCAAAUCUGACUUCAGUGUCAGUCUGGUUUCAACCUGUCAGGAGCUUCUCAGAACCUUCAGAACAUAAUCCUGUCAAGUUCUAACCACACAGACUACUCGCGGUUUCCCUGAAUACUACAAGCACAUGCCGCCACCACACCCCUGCACACGCUGCUCCUUCAGCCUGGGGUUUGCUUCCAUUUUUUUUCACCCCUCACCCACACCAAACCUGCAUCUACUCAUCGUGAGCAGCUCUGUCCUUCAGGUGUCAAGGGAGGUGGGCCAUUUGGAUGAGCAGCACAGUGUGCCCCGACUGACCAUCAGCCUGCGAGUUGGUCCAAGGUCCCAGCAUCGUGGUGUGCACACUGUUCUGGGAAGCCCUCCCCGCACCAAAGGCUGGUUUCCUUGCAGCUGCCCUGUGCACACAUGUGCCUGACAUCCUGUGCACGUUACUACCAGCCCUCAUCCCGCUGUUCUGAAACUAUCUCCUCCAGGAGACCGUGGCCCCUCGAGAGCGGUCAUCUGGGCCUAUCUGUUGUGUUCAUAGUGCCUGGGACAAAGUCAGUGUUUCUUACGGUUAGCUGCCUGGAAAGGGAGCGAUAACCUCCCAGCUGCUUCCUUGUUCUCCACCAGGUAAGUUUCCUGUGGGGCAGCACUAGGGAGAAUUGCAGCCGGUCCCUGCGGCUCAGCUCCUUGGACUCCAGCAGUGGAGGGUGAGUCAGCGUAUCGACGUUCUGUGACCUUGAUCCAGCCCUAGACACCAGUGCCUACACCCACAAUUCCGGAUGACUGUGUCCCUUAAGAUAAUUACAGUGUGCUUUAAAAAAUUAUUAUUAUAGAGAUACUAAUUGUUUAUUAUAAAAAAUUAGGAAAACACAGAAAAGC